rnacentral:rRNA from 1 species
CCCUUAGAUGUUCUGGGCCGCACGCGCGCUACACUGACGAAGUCAGCGAGCAUGUCCUACGCCGACAGGUGCGGGGAAUCUUGUCAAACUUCGUCGUGAUGGGGAUUGAUUAUUGAAAUUCUUGAUCAUCAACGAGGAAUUCCUAGUAAGCGCAAGUCAGCAGCUUGCGUUGAUUACGUCCCUGCCCUUUGUACACACCGCCCGUCGCUACUACCAAUUGAAUGGUUUAGUGAGAUCUUCGGAUUGGCGCCACUGCGGCUCAGCAAUGGGCUCGGUGGAUGCCGAAAAGUUGAUCAAACUUGAUCAUUUAGAGGAAGUAAAAGUCGUAACA